UGGCACUGUUUUAGUUCACGCAGACCCCUCACCCUUCAGCGUAAGCCCCCAGGGCUUUGUAGAUUCACCAUCACUGGUGCCAUAGAGAAGACAGGACUUCAAGCAACAUAGCAAUACCUCUCUCUGUUGCCACCCGUGCACUCAGAUGUACCCUAUGGCUGUUCCUGAACAAAUCCCUCCAGGAGGAAGGUUGCAGCCAAGUGAGAACUUGGUUCCCUUAUAUUGCCUCUGGCAUUUCCUCAUCUUGUAGUAAUCUUCAUGCACAGGAAUUUCACAUUAAACUGAAAUUAAAACAGAGGAAAAGCAUCACUAACA